GACGAACGCUGGCGGCGUGCUUAACACAUGCAAGUCGAGCGGUAAGGCCCUUUCGGGGGUACACGAGCGGCGAACGGGUGAGUAACACGUGGGCGACCUGCCCUCAGCUCUGGGAUAAGCCUGGGAAACCGGGUCUAAUACUGGAUAUGACUCCAUGACGCAUGUUGUGGGGUGGAAAGCCUUGUGCGGCUGAGGAUGGGCCCGCGGCCUAUCAGCUUGUUGGUGGGGUGAGGCCUACCAAGGCGACGACGGGUAGCCGGCCUGAGAGGGCGACCGGCCACACUGGGACUGAGACACGGCCCAGACUCCUACGGGAGGCAGCAGGUGGGGAAUCUUGCGCAAGUGGGCGAAAGCCUGACGCAGCGACGCCGCGUGAGGGAUGAC
rnacentral:rRNA from 1 species